AUUGAACGCUGGCGGCAGGCUUAACACAUGCAAGUCGAGCGGGGUGAUGGUGCUUGCACUAUCACUUAGCGGCGGACGGGUGAGUAAUGCUUAGGAAUCUGCCUAUUAGUGGGGGACAACAUCUCGAAAGGGAUGCUAAUACCGCAUACGUCCUACGGGAGAAAGCAGGGGAUCACUUGUGACCUUGCGCUAAUAGAUGAGCCUAAGUCGGAUUAGCUAGUUGGUGGGGUAAAGGCCUACCAAGGCGACGAUCUGUAGCGGGUCUGAGAGGAUGAUCCGCCACACUGGGACUGAGACACGGCCCAGACGCCUACGGGAGGCAGCAGUGGGGAAUAUUGGACAAUGGGCGGAAGCCUGAUCCAGCCAUGCCGUGCGUGUGAAGAAGGCCUUUUGGUUGUAAAGCACUUUAAGCGAGGAGGAGGCUACCUGGAUUAAUACUCUAGGAUAGUGGACGUUACUCGCAGAAUAAGCACCGGCUAACUCUGUGCCAGCAGCCGCAGUAA
rnacentral:rRNA from 1 species